ACGAGUUAUUGAACAGGUUGUAAGCUGACCUCUUCUCAAAGAGGAGGUAUGUGCACGCCUGGCUCAUCCACUCUCUAACCUCUGUGCACCUGUCGUAGGUCGGUGAAACGGCAAAAGUCUGGCUGAUAGUAAAAUAUUGGUUGGACCUGCUUGGGAAGCCUUCCUAUGUUCUUUUUUUACAAACGCUUCAGUUUAAGAAUGUGCCUAUGCGUGUAACGCAUUUUAUAUACAACUUUCAGCAACGGAUCUCUUGGCUCUCGCAUCGAUGAAGAACGCAGCGAAAUGCGAUAAGUAAUGUGAAUUGCAGAAUUCAGUGAAUCAUCGAAUCUUUUGAACGCACCUUGCGCUCCCUGGUAUUCCGGGGAGCAUGCCUGUUUGAGUGUCAUGG
rnacentral:misc_RNA from 1 species